rnacentral:rRNA from 1 species
CCCGAUGGAGGGGGAUAACUACUGGAAACGGUAGCUAAUACCGCAUAACGUCUUCGGACCAAAGUGGGGGACCUUCGGGCCUCACACCAUCGGAUGUGCCCAGAUGGGAUUAGCUAGUAGGUGGGGUAAUGGCUCACCUAGGCGACGAUCCCUAGCUGGUCUGAGAGGAUGACCAGCCACACUGGAACUGAGACACGGUCCAGACUCCUACGGGAGGCAGCAGUGGGGAAUAUUGCACAAUGGGCGCAAGCCUGAUGCAGCCAUGCCGCGUGUAUGAAGAAGGCCUUCGGGUUAUAAAGUACUUUCAGCGGGGAGGAAGGCGAUAAGGUUAAUAACCUUGUCGAUUGACGUUACCCGCAGAAGAAGCACCGGCUAACUCCGUGCCAGCAGCCGCGGUAAU